AUGGUUCCAACUGGAACUAAACCAGGAGGCCGAUGAUCGAUCCAUCUCUCUGCACUUUGAGACCGCCUGUAUCGCAGAUUUACUACUGGAAUUCUUUCCUAAAAGUUAUAAAAGAUAGAAUAAUUUGUUGCAGAAUAUAAUGUAGAUGCAGACUUCGCACUUAUUUUUGGAGUAACUGUCAUACAAGACAUAGUUUCUGAGGAACAGCUUGGACUACUUGCAACUUUGGAUGAGUUUGUCCUCUUUCUCCUUCAUUUGGCACUAAACAAAUAUUAAACAUCAAACAGCCAUAUAAAAUGUAUGCGAAUAUAAUUAAAUACCUGAAGAAGUUCACGUU